UACGUAGGGUGCAAGCGUUGUCCGGAAUUAUUGGGCGUAAAGAGCUCGUAGGCGGUCUGUCGCGUCUGCUGUGAAAACCUGGGGCUCAACCUCAGGCUUGCGGUCGAUACGGGCAGGCUAGAGUUCGGUAGGGGAGACUGGAAUUCCUGGUGUAGCGGUGAAAUGCGCAGAUAUCAGGAGGAACACCGGUGGCGAAGGCGGGUCUCUGGGCCGAUACUGACGCUGAGGAGCGAAAGCGUGGGGAGCGAACAGG
rnacentral:rRNA from 1 species